rnacentral:rRNA from 1 species
AUUCAACAGGUGGUAGAAGCGAUUCUCUCUGGGGGACAACGGGUGAAAAAAAAGAGAAAGAGCCUGGUAACAGUGGGAGAGAGGGGGAUCUCUACUGGCUACGGUAGCUAAUACAUCUUAGGAUGUACGGACGGGAGUGGGGGACCUUCUGGCCUCACACCGUCUGAUGUGACAAUAUGGAAUUAGCGAGGUAGUGGCUUACUGGCUCUCCUAUCCGACGAUGGCCAGCUGGGAUGACCGGACGACCUGCCACACUGAAACUGACAAAACGCCUACACUCCGACGGGAUGCGGCAUUGUGGAAUAUUGCCCAAUGCCCGCUCCCCUGAUGCAGCCUUGCCGAUUGUGGGCCUAAGGCCGUAAACUGGUAUUGUACUUUCCGAAAGGACGGAGGCUAAUGUGUCCAGGUCAUCUUGGAUUGAUGUUACUCACACACGGCGCAGUAGGUAACUCCGUGCCCGCAACCACGGAAGGUGCGAGGGUGCAUCUGUUUAUCUGAAUUACUGGCGGUAAAACGCACGUUUGCAGUUUGUUAAUGCAAACCCCAAAUCCCCCCGCUUAAACUGCCAACUGCAUUUGAAACUGGCAGUGCUAGAGACUGGGAUGGGGAUUGUAGAAUUUCCCGGUGAAACGGUGAAAAUGCGCAGAGAUCCACAGAAAUACCAGUGGCUCCCGUGGGCCCCCUGGAGACACACUGACGCUCAAGUGCGAGGAGCAAGGGAGAUACAUGCUUAGAUACCCUGCGAGUCCACGCAGGUCACCAGGUUGAUUUGGAUGUAGUGACUUUGAGACGAGGCUUACGCAUGCAACGCACUACCUCGACCGCCCGGGCACUACGGUCAAACUGUUAAAACUCGAAUGAAAUCCUCCACAGCCGCGCGAUGAGGUGGAUCAUGUCGAUUGAAUUCCAUGCACGCUUACCAACCUUUAGCUUACUGCUGGAACUUCUACAAGAACAUUGCUAUAGAUGGCGACUUGAGUACCAUUCU